UUGAUGGUAUCAACAGUCAUGAUGUGACCCAUCUGGGAAUUGUCCUGUUCUUAACUUUUGGGAUGAAGGCAGGUUGAGAUUAGGGGAAAAAAAUUCGAGGAGGAAGCUAUUUCAAUUGUGAAAUUGUGGAGCACGGUAGUUGUAGAUGCACCAUCUUAUCCCUUUAAAAUGUCUUCUCUUUUAUCACAUAAAACUUAUAAGACGAAUUCAGUCAUAGAAAGAACAGAACAAUGGUUGCUAAUAUUCACAUUUUAGUGUGGCAAACAAUUUCAUUUCUACAUCUUUCAAUAAAAGCAGCCAUCGUAUAUACAACAUCGAUUGGUUUGUGUUUGAUGGGUAAUAACUUCGGGAACUACUUGGAUUGUAUGAAUUUGUUUUUCCAUAAAAAAAUUUUCAGGGGGUACGAAGAUUAAAAUGUUUGUGUCCAUUUUUCCCCGACUAUCUCGUGAUGUUUGUGUACAUUAUUGUGCGGUUUUGAGUUUCCAUGGUUAGGUUAAUUAUUAAAAAUAUUUCAUGGUUAUGCUGCUGUGCACGUGCUGCCCCUGUACCCCAGUGGCUAGAUUGUUUAAAACCAUCUCCUUUAUCAUUUAGUCUUAUUUCAUGGCAUCUUUAGUAUUGAAGUUACCUCGAUGGCCAAAAAAAAAAAGGUUUUGAAGUUAUAUCAUUCCUAUUUUUCCCGGUUUUUUUUCAGUAUCAUGGUCCUCAAAUGGAUUGAAUAACUUCAUUAAUGAAGCUUUGUUCUUAUAAUUUUUUGCAUAAACCACCAGUAUCCAAAAGCCAUAUUGGAUUCAGACUAACUCAGGUUGAGCCUGGUAGAAAUGCAAGGGUUGCACAAGUUUUCAACACAACAUCCAGGACUCAAACUCAAGAUUAUUGGUUAAACCAACGCAAAGUUCCUAUUAGCUUAGAACUUGAUGAGUGACUUCAAAUCUACAUCAGAUGCAAGGUGUGAGGAGGCAGCCCAGGUUGAAGAGUAUUUGCGUCUUCUAUGGGAGCAGCCAGGGCAAGAAGACAAGCUGUAAAGAUGCUGCCAUUAAGUUUAACGAGGAAUUGGUGAUGCAGUGUUUAAUGGUUUCCCAUAUUUUCGCCUCCUUUAUUCUUUUCAUUCCAUAUAUUAUCCCAUAUGUCACCCCCCCCUCAAAAUACCUUAAUUCUGUUCGCUGUAAAUAUCAUCUAAUACAUCUGGGCUUGAGCUUUUCUCUUGGUUCAGUUUAUGCCUUUCAUAUA